GCCAGACUCCUACGGGAGGCAGCAGUGGGGGAUAUUGGACAAUGGGGGAAACCCUGAUCCAGCGACGCCGCGUGAGUGAAGAAGUAUUUCGGUAUGUAAAGCUCUGUCAGCAGGGAAGAAAGAAAUGACGGUACCUGACCAAGAAGCCCCGGCUAACUACGUGCCAGCAGCCGCGGUAAUACGUAGGGAGCGAGCGUUGUCCGGAUUUACUGGGUGUAAAGGGUGCGUAGGCGGCCCUGCAAGUCAGAAGUGAAAUCCAUGGGCUUAACCCGUGAACUGCUUUUGAAACUGCAGGACUUGAGUGGAGUAGAGGUAGGCGGAAUUCCCGGUGUAGCGGUGAAAUGCGUAGAGAUCGGGAGGAACACCAGUGGCGAAGGCGGCCUACUGGGCUUUAACUGACGCUGAAGCACGAAAGCGUGGGUAGCAAACAGGAUUAGAUACCCGAGUAA
rnacentral:rRNA from 1 species